rnacentral:tRNA from 1 species
GCGGGUGUAGUUCAAUGGUAGAACUUCAGCUUCCCAAGCUGAUAGUGAGGGUUCGAUUCCCUUCACCCGCUCCA